UUUUAUCACUCACACAGUUAUGAGACAAUUCCCAGCAUCUAUUAUACUUACUGAGUGAAGGGCAAGUUUAAAGUGGUCAGUUUGCAUGCUGCAAUUCUAUGGACUGAGAUGAACCAGUGGAGUGUGGAAAACUCUAUAGGGUCCCCAAAGAGGCAAGAACAGAGAUGCUACUGUACUUCAGCAAUAGCUUUUUCAUCGCUUUCACCUUCACAGGACAUAUGGUGAUACAAUCUUCAGCAUUCUGUAUGGAGAAGCCUAUAGGCAGCAGAAUCCCAUGCGGGAAGAUAAUGAAGCAGACUUAGCGCCCCCUCCCACAUUCUACACAUACUCCACCUACACUAAGAAGUAGGUGGCAGAAUUAUCACACUCCCAGAGGGUACAGGUUGUAUCUUCCCUCAUGAUGAUAACUUCUUCCAUCCUAGAGACGGGAAGAGAAAAAUAAUGUGGCUAAAGAUGGAUAAAUCAUGGAAUAUGUAACUUCUAAUAGCACCACUGUGCAUACAAAUGAUUCAGAGGAGGUAGUAGCCACCAGCAGCAGCACAUCAGAGGAGCCAACCACAGGCAACUGGACAGACUUCCCGGGGUUCAAGAAUCCUGUAACACUACUGAUAUUCUAAACUUCUCGCAGUUUCCUUUUACCCUUAACUUGGGCUAUCCCCAUGGAAUCCUCCAGGCCUUCUAGAUCUCUGUCUUCCAGACAACUUCACCGAAGUUAUUUGCUCUCUACUUCACAGUCUCCAUACCUUGAUUCCUGCUCCCGCUCUCAGAUUUUCCUCCUUGCAGGGUUUCUAAAGACCUCAGUAUAAUAUACCAUUGAGUCUACAGUUCCUGUUAAUCUGCUAAAUCUUCAGACCCUGUGGCACUCUGAAAAGGAAUGCAAAGAUGGAAAGAAGAGCAGGAAUCCAAGUGCUGACCCUGAGAGAGCAGGAGGAUAGUGAGAAGCUGACUUAUGAAAAGGUUAGCUAGGAAGCCAGGGCCAGGCAGAGCUCCUAAGCUCCACAAGAGUGCCUAGUGGCCUAGCUCACCUGGUCCCACUACUGUGCAGAAUGUUGUGGCCUCCAUAAGGUGUCCUGUCCCAUUCCUCAGUUACUCCCUAGGCAGGUUUGAAAUAUAAAAAAGAAAAAUCUAAGGAAAUUCCCCAACCAAAAAUCUUUGUUAAAAAGGUUGAGAAAACAUAUCAGUAACGUAAUGAUAAAAAUCCUACAUAAAAUCUUAUAAACAAGAAAAAGCAAUGGAAAACUAGGAAACGCAUAGUUAAAGCGCUCAAAAAUGAAUAAACGUUGAGACAACCAUAUCCUUCUAUAGCAAUCAGUAACCACAAACAUUAGAAUGUUUUACCCUUCAUUGUACAGGUUUGCCUGGGACUGGAAUUAUAGACCAGUCCUGCAAGUUGGUGCACUGUAGUCAAUGGGAAUUGAUGACAUUCUUUGGCUUGCAGAACUGGGUCCUAUAAUAAAGAAAAAUCUUUCAGGUUGAGA